rnacentral:rRNA from 1 species
UACGUAGGCAGCGAGCGUUGUUCGGAGUUACUGGGCGUAAAGGGUGCGUAGGCGGUUGUUUAAGUUUGGUGUGAAAUCUCCCGGCUCAACUGGGAGGGUGCGCCGAAUACUGAAUGACUAGAGUGCGGGAGAGGAUAGUGGAAUUCCUGGUGUAGCGGUGAAAUGCGUAGAUAUCAGGAGGAACACCGGUGGUGUAGACGGCUAUCUGGACCGUAACUGACGCUGAGGCACGAAAGCGUGGGCAGCAAACAGG